UAUAAUCACGACAUCGUGGAAAUAUCAAAUCUCGGAGCCUUGGGAUGAGCCUGCGUCUGAUUAGGUAGUUGGCGGAGUAAUAGGCCCACCAAGCCUACGAUCAGUAGCUGGUCUGAGAGGAUGAUCAGCCACACUGGAACUGAGACACGGUCCAGACUCCUACGGGAGGCAGCAGUAAGGAAUAUUGCUCAAUGGGGGAAACCCUGAAGCAGCAACGCCGCGUGAAGGAUGAAAUACUUUGUAUGUAAACUUCUGUAAGAUGGGAAAAAUAUUCUCCUCGGGAGAAUUGAUUGUACCAUCAGAGUAAGCCCCGGCUAACUACGUG
rnacentral:rRNA from 1 species